GGAACCCAUACCCAGCAUCCAAAGCGAGGAGGUUAUGGAGGAAACAAUUGGAGGCCUCUGGAAAAAACACACUCAGAACCUGGCAACAAGCAGAAGGAACAAGGCCCUGGGUCACAGGAGGCGACUCAAGUGGGUAAGACACAGAACAAGAGCUGCCACCCCAUGAACGGCACGUGCUGACCGAUGAGCAGUCGCAGGCGGCUGCAGGCCCUACUUCUUCUUGCCACCUCGCUAGUACUGGCCCCCACUGCAGCCCAGUCCCAGCUACAGGAGGCCUAGGGUAGGGGGACAAGGCAUAGCAGCGAGGAAAAUAGCUGGGGAAGAAGCCCUGGAGGAGCCACAGAAGAAAAGAUGGGUUCAGCUCAGCCUGCCCAGUCAGGCAUCUAACAUGGUUUCCACAGAGGACGCUGGCUACGCCACCAUUAAUCCCCUCACUCCCCUGUUCUCAUCCCCUCCAGGAGGACACAGCAGGUAACUCCCUGCUUGUGGCCUGGGAGAACAGUCAAAGAUGGCCCAAACCCUUGGGACCCUGCAUCCCAGUGGGAUAC